GGUUCCUUUUCGACUCAGUGUCAGUAUCAGUCCAGGUGGUCGCCUUCGCCACUGGUGUUCCUUCCUAUAUCUACGCAUUUCACCGCUACACAGGAAAUUCCACCACCCUCUACCAUACUCUAGCUUGCCAGUUUUGGAUGCAGUUCCCAGGUUGAGCCCGGGGAUUUCACAUCCAACUUAACAAACCACCUACGCGCGCUUUACGCCCAGUAAUUCCGAUUAACGCUUGCACCCUCUGUAUUACCGCGGCUGCUGGCACAGAGUUAGCCGGUGCUUAUUCUGUCGGUAACGUCAAAAUUGCAGAGUAUUAAUCUACAACCCUUCCUCCCAACUUAAAGUGCUUUACAAUCCGAAGACCUUCUUCACACACGCGGCAUGGCUGGAUCAGGCUUUCGCCCAUUGUCCAAUAUUCCCCACUGCUGCCUC
rnacentral:rRNA from 1 species